UGGCAAGCGUUGUCCGGAAUUAUUGGGCGUAAAGGGCUCGCAGGCGGUUUCUUAAGUCUGAUGUGAAAGCCCCCGGCUCAACCGGGGAGGGUCAUUGGAAACUGGGGAACUUGAGUGCAGAAGAGGAGAGUGGAAUUCCACGUGUAGCGGUGAAAUGCGUAGAGAUGUGGAGGAACACCAGUGGCGAAGGCGACUCUCUGGUCUGUAACUGACGCUGAGGAGCGAAAGCGUGGGGAGCGAACAGGAUUAGAUACCCUGGUAGUCCACGCCGUAAACGAUGAGUGCUAAGUGUUAGGGGGUUUCCGCCCCUUAGUGCUGCAGCUAACGCAUUAAGCACUCCGCCUGGGGAGUACGGUCGCAAGACUGAAACUCAAAGGAAUUGACGGGGGCCCGCACAAGCGGUGGAGCAUGUGGUUUAAUUCGAAGCAACGCGAAGAACCUUACCAGGUCUUGACAUCCUCUGACAAUCCUAGAGAUAGGACGUCCCCUUCGGGGGCAGAGUGACAGGUGGUGCAUGGUUGUCGUCAGCUCGUGUCGUGAGAUGUUGGGUUAAGUCCCGCAACGAGCGCAACCCUUGAUCUUAGUUGCCAGCAUUCAGUUGGGCACUCUAAGGUGACUGCCGGUGACAAACCGGAGGAAGGUGGGGAUGACGUCAAAUCAUCAUGCCCCUUAUGACCUGGGCUACACACGUGCUACAAUGGACAGAACAAAGGGCAGCGAAACCGCGAGGUUAAGCCAAUCCCACAAAUCUGUUCUCAGUUCGGAUCGCAGUCUGCAACUCGACUGCGUGAAGCUGGAAUCGCUAGUAAUCGCGGAU
rnacentral:rRNA from 1 species